rnacentral:ncRNA from 1 species
CGACCUCAGAUCAGACGAGAUUACCCGCUAAAUUUAAGCAUAUCAAUAAGCGGUGGAAAAGAAACGAAAACGAAUUCUCCAAGUAGCGGCGAGCGAAACGAGAAAAGUCCAUACACCGAAGUCGGCGAGCAGUUGUGUUCGUCAACAGUGUGGUGUUAAAGGUGUCGUUGCAUGUGCUGAAAUCAGUUCGUAGGCUCCCUUGAUUGGGGCUUCAGAGCGGGUGCAGGACCCAUAACGAACGAUGUUUUGUGCAUGGUGUCGCGGCUCCUAAUCGAGUCGGGUUGCUUGAGACUGCAGCCCAAAGCGGGUGGUAAAUCUCACCCAAGACUAAAUAUUCGUACGAGACCGAUAGCGAACAAGUACCGCGAGGGAAAGUUGAAAAGAACUCUGAAGAGAGAGUUCAACAGGACGUGAAACCGUUGACAGGCAAACGGAUGGAGCUGACGGUGCAAUUUUGACCAAAAUCAGUCGUCGCUGGGUUCGUUGGCGAAUGAAUCUUUUGCAAACUUGUUUGUGUAGAUUAUCUUUCGAUUCGAAUCUACGCACGGUGCACUUUUGGUCGAUCAGCGUCACGAGCAACGUUC